AGAAGGGAGAUCCACUAUUACAAACGACAGCCCACUACUUGAAAAGCUUACUGCAAUCUCUCAAGAUGAACUCAGAUGAGGCCUUCAUCAGAAAGAUGCUUGCAAUUUACUCCAUGUCCAGCUGCUUUUCUGUCUGGGGAAAGAACAUUCAUCUGAUAGCAAAUAGUGGUGGGACCAUACAAUAUCAUGAACUCACAAACUCAUACGAG
rnacentral:lncRNA from 1 species